rnacentral:rRNA from 1 species
AGAUGGCGGCCGGCGCACGGGUGAGUAACACGUAUCCAACCUGCCGAUAACUCGGGGAUAGCCUUUCGAAAGAAAGAUUAAUACCCGAUGGUAUAAUCAGACCGCAUGGUCUUGUUAUUAAAGAAUUUCGGUUAUCGAUGGGGAUGCGUUCCAUUAGGCAGUUGGUGAGGUAACGGCUCACCAAACCUUCGAUGGAUAGGGGUUCUGAGAGGAAGGUCCCCCACAUUGGAACUGAGACACGGUCCAA